rnacentral:rRNA from 1 species
AGUGAACGCUGGCGGUAGGCCUAGCACAUGCAAGUCGAACGGCAGCACAGUAAGAGCUUGCUCUUACGGGUGGCGAGUGGCGGACGGGUGAGGAAUACAUCGGAAUCUACUUUUUCGUGGGGGAUAACGUAGGGAAACUUACGCUAAUACCGCAUACGACCUACGGGUGAAAGCAGGGGAUCUUCGGACCUUGCGCGAUUGAAUGAGCCGAUGUCGGAUUAGCUAGUUGGCGGGGUAAAGGCCCACCAAGGCGACGAUCCGUAGCUGGUCUGAGAGGAUGAUCAGCCACACUGGAACUGAGACACGGUCCAGACUCCUACGGGAGGCAGCAGUGGGGAAUAUUGGACAAUGGGCGCAAGCCUGAUCCAGCCAUACCGCGUGGGUGAAGAAGGCCUUCGGGUUGUAAAGCCCUUUUGUUGGGAAAGAGAAGCAGCAGGUUAAUACCCCGCUGUUCUGACGGUACCCAAAGAAUAAGCACCGGCUAACUUCGUG